rnacentral:rRNA from 1 species
GAUGAACGCUGGCGGCGUGCCUAAUACAUGCAAGUCGAGCGAACAGACCAGGAGCUUGCUCCCCUGACGUUAGCGGCGGACGGGUGAGUAACACGUGGAUAACCUACCUAUAAGACUGGGAUAACUUCGGGAAACCGGAGCUAAUAUCGGAUAAUAUAUUGAACCGCAUGGUUCAAUAGUGAAAGACGGUUUUGCUGUCACUUAUAGAUGGAUCCGCGCCGCAUUAGCUAGUUGGUAAGGUAACGGCUUACCAAGGCAACGAUGCGUAGCCGACCUGAGAGAGUGAUCGCCCACACUGGUACUGAGACGCGGUCCAGACUCCUACGGGAGGCAGCAGUAGGGAAUCUUCCACAAUGGGCGAAAGCCUGACGGAGCAACGCCGCGUUAGUGAUGAAGGUCUUCGGAUCGUAAAACUCUGUUAUUAGGGAAGAACAAAUUUGUAAGUAACUAUGCACGUCUUGACGGUACCUAAUCAGAAAGCCACGGCUAACUACGUG